rnacentral:rRNA from 1 species
AAACUUUCAACAACGGAUCUCUUGGUUCUGGCAUCGAUGAAGAACGCAGCGAAAUGCGAUAAGUAAUGUGAAUUGCAGAAUUCAGUGAAUCAUCGAAUCUUUGAACGCACAUUGCGCCCCGUGGUAUUCCGCGGGGCAUGCCUGUUCGAGCGUCAUUUCACCACUCGAGUCUGACUCGGUAUUGGGCGCCGCGCAUUGUCGCGCGCCUCAAAGUCCCCGGCUGGGUGGGCCCGUCCCCGAGCGUUGUGGUUUCACAGUCUCGCUAGGGAGCACGCGCCCGCCGCAUCGGCCGCUAAACACCCCCAUCACAGGUUGA